GUCAAAUUGUUAUGUUACCGUGGCGAGGCCAAAUAUUUGGCUUUUUCGUAGCUCAUCACAGUUUACUUUCUUUGUAGUGCUUGUACACUUUUUUGCUUGGCGAAGGUUAAAAAACGCGGAAGAAGGUCACCCGCCGCUUACCUUGAAUUUCCGCAGGUGUUGCGGUUUGCAAAAAAACACAAGUUCAGAUUUGGGCUACAAAGUUACGUAUUUAUCGUUCCGCUUCGUUUAGAGCUUCUCGUCGUUAUGGAACGUGGCAGCAGAACUGCGAGAUAUUAAUUGAUAUAAAUUGCAUACGACGGUUCGUGUCCCUGUGUGACGGAGCGGACACUGAGUGAGUGACUCCCGCGAAGCCCUGCGAGGAUUCUGAAGCGGAACCUCGUGAAGAGCGGCGCGCGAGCUGGAGCACAGCGACCACACCGCGCUCGCGCCACUGCUACUCCAGCAGCCUGAAACAUCAUCAUGGAGGAGAACGUGGACUUCAAGACCUUGAGGGACAGAUUUCAUGCGAAGGCUGAAAUGGCUGAUGCCAAAGGUGGUGAUUCCCAGAGGCUUCCGAUGCCACGAUUUCCAAGAGCAGUUCCACCAGCAGGACACAGCCCUUCAGCGAAUGGUGCCGCCCGACCUAAACUGUCGCCUGCCGCUCCUGGACCGCGUUCAUCUCCAGACCUUAGUUGGAUGGCCAGACCAUCUGCAGUUGAACCUGAGUCCACAGGCCCAACAAGGCCGUCCCCACCUUUUGGUGUCUUUCCCAGACCACCUCCAUCCCACCGGACUGCUCCUGUUCCGCAGGAACCCAAAACAGAGAGCCCAGUGAAGGACAGAGUACCAGGAAAGGUCAAAGCUACCGGGGAACUGUUGCAAAACAUGAUGCUGAAGCCAUCUAUGCAGGACAGCCCCCUAUUCAAGCCAACUCCAUCUCCCACAUCAACACUGCGUAGCCAGAGAAGCAUGGCAGAAGUGCCUCCUCUUAGGAGGACUCUACCCCCUGAGGGACCAAAACCUGUCAAACCCAAACGCCCCCCCACUGUUAACCUGGACUGCUACCGGAAAGCUGCACCACCACCUCCGCUGCCUGGACGCCCAUCACUGGGGAAGAAGACAGGAGCUGUUAAUCUACCCAUUCCUGGGUCAGCAAGUCCAUCAGGCCCACCAAGGCCACCAUUCAAACCAAGCAGCCUAAGCCAGCAGCAGUCAGUGAUUGUGAAAGACGAUGAUCAAGACACCUACGAUGAUGUUGACAUACUUCCACCUCCACCACCUCCCCCGCCUUCAAAGUCUGCUUUCAAAGAAGAUUUCUUCAACAACUGUGGUUCCACACCUGGGGAUGAGGAAAGUGAUACUGGUGAAAUCUAUGAACCUGUUGAUGAACCAGAAGAGCCAGUCAGUCACGAUAGGAAUUUGCAGAAGGAAGUGAAGCGGCAGCGUGACCUGGAAAAGAAAGAACAGAAGGAGAAACAGAAGAAAGAGAAUGAAUAUAAGAAGAAAUUUAAGGUGUGACAUCACCUGUUUACAAAAUGCAGACACUUACCAUCUACCUAUCAUUGAUU
ensembl:lncRNA